rnacentral:rRNA from 1 species
ACGCCUAACACAUGCAAGUCGAACGAAGUAGCAAUACUUAGUGGCAGACGGGUGAGUAACAUGUGGGUAUCUGCCCUUUGGCCUGGAAUAACACGAGGAAACUUGUGCUAAUACCGGAUAAGUCUUUACAGAGAAAGCUUUAUGCACCAUUGGAUGAGCCCGCACUUGAUUAGUUUGUUGGUGGGGUAAUGGCCUACCAAGACUGUGAUCAAUAGCUGAUUUGAGAGGAUGAUCAGCCACAUUGGGACUGAGACACGGCCCAAACUCCUACGGGAGGCAGCAGUGGGGAAUCUUGCACAAUGGAGGAAACUCUGAUGCAGCGAUGCCGCGUGAGUGAAGAAGGCCCUUGGGUUGUAAAGCUCUUUCGUCGGGGAAGAAAAUGACUGUACCCGAAUAAGAAGGUCCGGCUAACUUCGUGCCAGCAGCCGCGGUAAUACGAAGGGACCUAGCGUAGUUCGGAAUUACUGGGCUUAAAGAGUUCGUAGGUGGUUGAAAAAGUUGGUGGUGAAAUCCCAGAGCUUAACUCUGGAACUGCCAUCAAAACUUUUCAGCUAGAGUAUGAUAGAGGAAAGCAGAAUUUCUAGUGUAGAGGUGAAAUUCGUAGAUAUUAGAAAGAAUACCAAUUGCGAAGGCAGCUUUCUGGAUCAUUACUGACACUGAGGAACGAAAGCAUGGGUAGCGAAGAGGAUUAGAUACCCUCGUAGUCCAUGCCGUAAACGAUGUGUGUUAGACGUUGGAAAUUUAUUUUCAGUGUCGCAGCGAAAGCGAUAAACACACCGCCUGGGGAGUACGACC